GGGAGAGCUAGGCUGGGUGGUUAGCCGUCACUUGUUACUUCAAAUCGGCUUCAUGGAAGAGCUGAAGCCCGAAGAAGGGUUAGUCCUGUUAGGCUAGUCUUAGCAACUUCCGUCGAUGGUUUGUCUUGCGGGAUUGGCCCAAGAGGAACCGGGUCAGGCACGGAAGUGAGCAGCCCUAACUGUUGGCACCAAUGUUCGCAAGGUUGCAGGCCGGAGGAACUGCUGAGGUCAAACUAGUUUGGCAAGAUUAUCUCGACCGAGGGCGUGCCCC
rnacentral:SRP_RNA from 1 species